rnacentral:rRNA from 1 species
GAUGAACGCUGGCGGCGUGCCUAAUACAUGCAAGUCGAGCGAACAGACGAGGAGCUUGCUCCUCUGACGUUAGCGGCGGACGGGUGAGUAACACGUGGAUAACCUACCUAUAAGACUGGGAUAACUUCGGGAAACCGGAGCUAAUACCGGAUAAUAUAUUGAACCGCAUGGUUCAAUAGUGAAAGACGGUUUUGCUGUCACUUAUAGAUGGAUCCGCGCCGCAUUAGCUAGUUGGUAAGGUAACGGCUUACCAAGGCAACGAUGCGUAGCCGACCUGAGAGGGUGGUCGGCCACACUGGAACUGGGACACGGUCCAGACUCCUACGGGAGGCAGCAGUAGGGAAUCUUCCGCAAUGGGCGAAAGCCUGACGGAGCAACGCCGCGUGAGUGAUGAAGGUCUUCGGAUCGUAAAACUCUGUUAUUAGGGAAGAACAAAUGUGUAAGUAACUAUGCACGUCUUGACGGUACCUAAUCAGAAAGCCACGGCUAACUACGUG